UACAGAGGGGGCAAGCGUUGUUCGGAAUUACUGGGCUUAAAGGGCGCGUAGGCGGCCUGCUAAGUCGAUCGUGAAAUCCCCGGGCUCAACCCGGGAACUGCGACCGAUACUGGUUGGCUUGAAUCCGGGAGAGGGAUGCGGAAUUCCAGGUGUAGCGGUGAAAUGCGUAGAUAUCUGGAGGAACACCGGUGGCGAAGGCGGCAUCCUGGACCGGCAUUGACGCUGAGGCGCGAAAGCCAGGGGAGCAAACGGG
rnacentral:rRNA from 1 species